CUAUAUAUUUUAGUGUAAGAAGCACAAUAAUUUUUGAUAUUAUUAGGUAUAGUUUAAUUCUAUAAAAUA
rnacentral:tRNA from 1 species